GAUGAAGAACGCAGCGAAAUGCGAUAAGUAAUGUGAAUUGCAGAAUUCAGUGAAUCAUCGAAUCUUUGAACGCACAUUGCGCCCCCUGGUAUUCCGGGGGGCAUGCCUGUUCGAGCGUCAUUUCACCACUCAAGCCUCGCUUGGUAUUGGGCAACGCGGUCCGCCGCGUGCCUCAAAUCGACCGGCUGGGUCUUCUGUCCCCUAAGCGUUGUGGAAACUAUUCGCUAAAGGGUGUUCGGGAGGCUACGCCGUAAAACAACCCCAUUUCUAAGGUUGACCUCGGAUCAGGUAGGGAUACCCGCUGAACUUAAGCAUAUCAAUAAGCGAGGA
rnacentral:misc_RNA from 1 species